rnacentral:rRNA from 1 species
GUCUACAGCCAUGCUACCCCAAGCCUGUCUGAUCUCGGAAGCUAAGCAGGGUCAGGCCUGGUUAGUACUUGGAUGGGAGACCACCUAGGAAGACCAGGUGCUAUAUGCA